AGUGAACGCUGGCGGUAGGCCUAACACAUGCAAGUCGAACGGCAGCACAGUAAGAGCUUGCUCUUACGGGUGGCGAGUGGCGGACGGGUGAGGAAUACAUCGGAAUCUACUUUUUCGUGGGGGAUAACGUAGGUAAACUUACGCUAAUACCGCAUACGACCUACGGGUGAAAGCAGGGGAUCUUCGGACCUUGCGCGAUUGAAUGAGCCGAUGUCGGAUUAGCUAGUUGGCGGGGUAAAGGCCCACCAAGGCGACGAUCCGUAGCUGGUCUGAGAGGAUGAUCAGCCACACUGGAACUGAGACACGGUCCAGACUCCUACGGGAGGCAGCAGUGGGGAAUAUUGGACAAUGGGCGCAAGCCUGAUCCAGCCAUACCGCGUGGGUGAAGAAGGCCUUCGGGUUGUAAAGCCCUUUUGUUGGGAAAGAAAAGCAGCAGGUUAAUACCCCGCUGUUCUGACGGUACCAAAAGAAUAAGCACCGGCUAACUUCGUG
rnacentral:rRNA from 1 species